UCGGGACGUGGCUCAGCCUGGUAGAGCACUCGCUUGGGGUGCGAGGGGUCGGCAGUUCAAAUCUGCCCGUCCCGACCAG
rnacentral:tRNA from 1 species